rnacentral:rRNA from 1 species
UGGGGAAUAUUGCACAAUGGGCGCAAGCCUGAUGCAGCCAUGCCGCGUGUAUGAAGAAGGCCUUCGGGUUGUAAAGUACUUUCAGUCGGGAGGAAGGUGGUAAGGUUAAUAACCUUAUCAAUUGACGUUACCGACAGAAGAAGCACCGGCUAACUCCGUGCCAGCAGCCGCGGUAAUACGGAGGGUGCAAGCGUUAAUCGGAAUUACUGGGCGUAAAGCGCACGCAGGCGGUUGAUUGAGUCAGAUGUGAAAUCCCCGGGCUUAACCCGGGAAUUGCAUCUGAUACUGGUCAGCUAGAGUCUUGUAGACGGGGGUAGAAUUCCAUGUGUAGCGGUGAAAUGCGUAGAGAUGUGGAGGAAUACCGGUGGCGAAGGCGGCCCCCUGGACAAAGACUGACGCUCAGGUGCGAAAGCGUGGGGAGCAAACAGG